rnacentral:rRNA from 1 species
AUGCAUGCGGCGACGUCGGCCGGCAGCAUGGCCUCGAUCGAGCUCGGGCGCGGCGGCGCUGGUGGCAGCGGGAACGGCAUCGGCAGGCCCGCCGGGACGACGUCCAAGAAGCGGCUCGUGAUGAUCAUCGCCGACCCGGGCCGCGAGUCCACGGCGGCGAUGGACUGGGCACUCUCCCACGCCGUCGUCGAGGGUGACGACAUCCUGCUUCUCCACGUCAACAUGCCGCCGAGCGGCGCCCCCGGCGGCGCGGCCCCUCCGCGAACCGGCUCCGUCGGCAGCAGCAGCGGCUCCCAGCUGGCCGUGUUCCUCGGUGGCGGGGGCUCCGCGGACGGGGAGUUCAUGGAGACGAUGCGCGCCGCGUGCAAGGCGCGGCACCCGCGCGCUAGGGUCCACGCGGAGCGCGUCGAGCCGGCAACCGAGGGCCGCGAGGCCAAGGCCCAGACCAUCCUCGCCGAGUCCCAACGCCGCGGCGUCGAGCUCCUCGUCAUCGGUCACCACCGCUUCUCCGCCUUCCUCAGGUUGCGGAGCGCGAGCGGGACGAGCCGGCCGAGACACGACAGCACGGCGGAGUUCUUGAUCGAGCACAGCAAGUGCUUGUGCGUGAGCGUUCAGAAGAAGGGCAAGAACGCCGGCUACCUGCUCAACACAAAGACCCACAAGAACUUCUGGCAACUCGCAUGA